UGUAAUUUAUUUAGAUUUGUUUGUUAAGGUUAAUUAUAAAAUAUUAUUAAACAUCCUAUUACAUACUGGUUUUGGGUGAACUAUUAUUAACAUGCUUUGCUCUUACUUGUCUAAUAAGAAGCAUUUUCCAGUUUGUAAAAGUUCAUGGAAUAAGAUCUUGUGUCACUGGUGUCCUACAAGAGGAGCAUUCCUCUCUCAUGCUCUUCUCAUUAUUUAUCAACAACAUAAAAGAUGUUAUUAAUUAAAUCUAAUUUCUGUUAUUCGAGGAUAAUUUGAAACUGAAUAUAAAAGUUAGGUCUAUUGAUUAUUGUAUACGUUUAAAUGAUGACCUUAAUACAAUUGCACAAUAGACUUUGACCAUGGAUUUGUCAUUUGAUAUCCAAAAUUACAAAUAUAUGCCCUUUUACUGAUCACGUUCUCCGAUAGUUUUUAAUUCAACAGACUUUAGCUUAUAAAAAUAGAAAAUACAGUCAAAUACUUGGGUUUAGUUUUCAACACAAAAUUAACAUUUUAUCCUCAUAUAGAUUCUUCUAGUUAUAAAGCAUUACAAAUUCUUGAGUACUUACAUUAAACUUGUUUGUACCCGGUUUAAACUGGCUACCUCAAUCAAAUUAUUAUACUGUUCCUUAGUUUGCUUUGUGCUUGAAUACGGAUUUGCAUGUAAUUAGUCAUAGUUAUCUCUUGGCACACGUACAUGGUAAGUUUUUAUGUUUUGGUGGUCAGGUAUUGAAAAUUGAACAUCAGCCAUAUGAAUAUUUUCCAGUUAUUUCUACUCUACAAUUAAUUUUGUUGGCUGACAGAAGAGUACAAGUUAAUUAAACUUUUCUUUCUAAUCUACUCUCAGGUAAAAUUGACUCCCCAAAUCUUCUCUCUUCCAUUAAUUUCAAAAUCCCUAGUUGACCACUCGUAAUAACUAUAUGUUCUAUAUUUCUAUCCAUAACACAAACUAUGCUGCAAAUGAGACAUUGAUAAGAAUAAUGAGGAUUGCCAAUACUAAACUAUCUUUUUUAAUUAAUUUACUAGGUUAUUAUUUACAUUUGCUGUUCUUUUAGUUGAGAGUUAUGUAUUUUACUGUUUUAUGUUUUUUAUUACAUCCUUUAUGCAAUAUUUUAACUAUGUAUUAUUUAAAUUUUAAAUUUAUCAUAAUGUAACUAUUGAGCUACCAACCCGUACUUUCAAUAAAAUAAAUAAAAAUAAAAAUACAUUAAUUUUAGAAAAAAUAUAUAUGCAUGUACAUAUAUAAUUUUAGUAAAAUAAAAAUAAUUAGGUGAUAUUAAUAAUUGAAAAUUUGAUUCAACCAAUAAUAAAAAUAAAAAUUAGAAUAGAAG